CAGCUGUCCUUUGCUUCGUUCUCAUCUGUGUCCCCAGAGGGUAAUGUCUGGGAUGGUGGUGUUGAAACAUAAAUCCCGGGGAGAAAUGUGGUGGUGAAGGGCUGUUUGUGAGCGGCCUGGCCUGGCUCCAUCUGCCUCUGUCUGAGCGGGUGAAGAAGCAUGUCCUGGUCCAUGGGGUGUUUGCAUCCUGGUUCCAGCAGCAUGAGAUGCCCAGGGAUGGAUGGAGGGGCCCGGCCACGCUUGGAAGGAAGGCAGCAGCGUUUGGGCUAAAUUUUUGAGCUCUCCAAGGGGAGUUUGAAGAUCUGGCUGUCAGAAAGAAGCACCAUGCCAUUAAUCAUCUGUGUUUGCACAGCAUCGAGCGGAGCAAAGUCUUGGCUUGGGAUGGGGCAGCCGAUGCUGUCAUAACAUGAAGAAUAAGCAUC